rnacentral:rRNA from 1 species
UACGAAGGGGGCUAGCGUUUUUCGGAAUUACUGGGCGUAAAGCGCGCGUAGGCGGUUUUGCAAGCCAGAGGUGAAAUGCCUGAGCUCAACUUGGGAAUUGCCUUUGGGACUGCGAGGCUUUGAGGACUGGAGAGGUGAGUGGAAUUCCCAGUGUAGAGGUGAAAUUCGUAGAUAUUGGGAAGAACACCGGUGGCGAAGGCGGCUCACUGGCCAGUUUCUGACGCUGUAGCGCGAAAGCGUGGGGAUCAAACAGG